rnacentral:rRNA from 1 species
GAUGAACGCUGGCGGCGUGCCUAACACAUGCAAGUCGAGCGAACAGACGAGGAGCUUGCUCCUUUUACGUUAGCGGCGGACGGGUGAGUAACAUGUGUAUAACCUACCUAUAUGACUGGGAUAACCUCGGGAAACCGGAGCUAAUACCGGAUAAGAUACUGAAGCGCAUGGUUCAAUAGUUAAAGACGGCUUUGCUGUCACUUAUAGAUGGUUCCGCGCGGCAUUAGCUAGUUGGUAAGGUCACGGCUUACCAAGGCAACGAUGCGUAGCCGAGCUGAGAGGGUGGUCGGCCACACUGGAACUGAGACACGGUCCAGACUCCUACGGGAGGCAGCAGUAGGGAAUUUUCCGCAAUGGGCGAAAGCUUGACGGAGCAACGCCGCGUGAGUGAUGAAGGUCUUCGGGUCGUAAAGCUCUGUUAUGGGGGAAGAACAGAUGUGUAAGUAACUAUGCACGUAUUGACGGUACCUAAUCAGGAAGCCCCGGCUAACUACGUG